GUAACCAAACCGGAAUGGCAAAUUUUCCCUCGUCACUUACCUUCCUUUUUUAGCUUAGGUUAAUGAUAGCUAGUUGCUAAGUUGCUACUGUCUUAACAGCUGUCAUUUAGCGUUAGUUUCGGACAACCCAAAGACUCGCUUUCUAUACUUGUUAGCCGAUUUGUUUCCCCAUAAAGAACGAUAAAUGGAAAACGCCGUUUUAAAAAAGUGAAUGCCGUCGGUAUGAGCUUUAAGAAAGGCUCUGUAACAUUACACUUGCUGGCUCGGCGGGCAAGGCCAGAUAUUCUGAAGCUAUCGUAGCGCUGGCUAGGAAGCCCGAGUUAGCUUGACAUCCUUCAGUCGUAGCUAGCUUGACUAUUUAAUUAAGAAUUAACGGACUGCUUCAGGUGUCCACAUCACUUACAGCCCCAGAUGCGGAUGUUGCACUGCUUUACUAGAGCAAGGAGUCUGAAGGGAGACGCUACAGUUUUUUGUAAGUGACAAUGUAGGAAUCCCGAGGGUGGAGCUGUGCUGCUGUAUGACGGGCCAGAACACCGGAGGGAAGGCGAGCUCAGUGGACAGCACUCCUACAACUGGCUGGUGAGGAGGAGGAGGAGGCGCCGGUGGGAUGCUCCUGUCACCGCAUGAUAAGGUGAUGUCCUGUUUGUCUCUAGCCUUGAUGUCCUCGUGUCCUGCUUUGCUGUGAUGUGGAGCUUCCUCCAGACUCUGGUCUCUGGACAGAGGGGAGCAUCGUUGACCUUUACGAAACUUUGCCCUCCUGUUCUUGAACCACACCUGGAUGAGGAAGACAGGACGACCGAUGCGCCACAAAUAAGUGAGGUGUUUUAACACUAUUAAAGC